CACGGCAACCGAUCUUCAUCCGAGCUUCUACAAUAAGCAGACUUCAUCCAGACUCCUACAAGAGCCGGACUCCAUCCGAACUUCUACAACAGAAUUGAAUCCUGGAAUCCUCCAAUGUUCGACCUUCCACAGUGUCCUCAAGGCUCCUCCAAUGGAUGAACCUCCAUAAUGCCAUCUGAACUUCACUAUCGAUCGAUCCUCUGUC
rnacentral:lncRNA from 1 species